rnacentral:ncRNA from 2 species
AGGACGCACCAGGGGUGCCUGUAUCUGCUCGAGCACUAGCUUUUUGGCUUGGAUGCGAGCAAGCCAGGCUGAGAUAGUCCCUUUGAACCUGAACAGGUUAAUACCUGCGUAGGGAGUGUGCAUUUCUUUUUCC